rnacentral:tRNA from 1 species
GGGUAUAGCUCAGUGGUAGAGUGCAUUCCUAGCAUGCAUGAAGUCCUGGGUUCAAUUCCCAGUACCUCCA